UACGGAGGAUUCGAGCGUUAUCCGGAUUUAUUGGGUUUAAAGGGUGCGUAGGCGGAAUAAUAAGUCAGUGGUGAAAGCCCCAAGCUUAACUUGGGAACUGCCAUUGAUACUGUUGUUCUUGAGUACAUUUGAUGUGGGCGGAAUGUGUAGUGUAGCGGUGAAAUGCUUAGAUAUUACACAGAACACCAAUUGCGAAGGCAGCUCACAAAACUGUUACUGACGCUGAAGCACGAAAGCGUGGGGAUCAAACAGG
rnacentral:rRNA from 1 species